rnacentral:hammerhead_ribozyme from 1 species
AUCUAUCUGAUGAAUCCCGAAUAGGAUGAAACACUUGUCCUGAAU